GUUCAGAAAAAGGGCCCUGUGCUCACACACAGCACCUCUGGCUUUACUCACAGCCUGCUGCAAGGUUUGGGGCAGCUGCAGGUCUUGGUUCAGAUACAUCAUGGGCAUAGUCAGAUCCGUGGUUUUGUACAGUUUGAGAGUUAUUUACAGUUAUUUAAUUGCUGCAUCAGCCAAAAGUAUCAUCAAGCCUCCCCAAACCUGCUGGGAAACAACAAUUCCUUGUUUUUUCCAAGAACCAUGAUGUGGAUCAGCACUUUUUGACCCUGUGGGGUUCAAGGACUGAAAUCCUGAUGCACUCCCUGAGGAACAGCAAUGGCUCCUUGUCAUUAAACACCUUGUGAACAGUUCCAGUGGGUAUGAUUACCAGAAAAUCACAGUCACUUCCUGCUUUUUGUACAUAAUUAUCAUAAAAUCACAGUCACUUCCUAGUUUUCCUGCUUGUGCUUGCCUAUUAAAGCACCAAAAUCUUCUAAUGCUUUUAGAAUUUUGAACAGAAAAUGGGGAGAUUUUAUCCUCUGGAGAGGAUCAGCCCUAAAUCUUAAAGCACCCAGUGCUCUGAAAGAAAGAGAAGAAGAGUUUUGCUCUCACUGCUCCCAUGUUAAGCUUUGAGUGAACUCAGCAAUUAUUGGAUUUAGGAGUUUUUCUUCCAAGCUUUUGUCUGAAAACACUUUCCCUCUGCAUCUCUCACAAGGAUUUUUCUUGACAGGCUCACUA